rnacentral:rRNA from 1 species
UACAGAGGUCUCAAGCGUUGUUCGGAUUCAUUGGGCGUAAAGGGUGCGUAGGUGGUGCUGUAAGUCAGGUGUGAAAUCUCGGGGCUCAACCCCGAAACUGCACUUGAUACUGCAGUGCUCGAGGACUGGAGAGGAGAUUGGAAUUCAUGGUGUAGCAGUGAAAUGCGUAGAUAUCAUGAGGAAGACCAGUGGCGAAGGCGGAUCUCUGGACAGCUCCUGACGCUGAGGCGCGAAGGCUAGGGGAGCAAACGGG